AUUUCGCAAAGGGACAAACACACUGGUUAUGCACAGCUCAGUUGCAUUUCUGAAAAGUUGCAUUGUGCAGAAAAAAUAGAUGUCUCAAGACAAAUGUCAGCCAUAGUAGUUAGACAUGAUAUACAAGUGCUUUCUCCUUGUGAUAAUAAAAAUUUAACCCGAAGAAUAAGACAUUACCCACAAGUUGCUUUAGACAUAUGACAUGCAUUUGGCAAUCAUUCAGACACUCUUUAUCACUGUUUUAGGAUAAAUGGGUAAACCUGCUAUCACAAGUCUUUGCAAAGCAGUAGUCAAAACACCCUAGAGCAGUACAUUAUAUGUUAAGUGUUUCACUUUCCUGUUAAAAAUGUAUUUUUGUAUUUAUUCUGUGGAAAUGCCUCUAGAUUCCUGGGAUAGUGCAUCAGAUAACAGGUUCCUAGACUUUUUAGUAUGAAAGGCACACUUAAGGGACAGAAAAGGAAUUUGGCGCAAUGAAUUUGACGUAAAGAAUAUUUCGGAUGCCAGUACUGUUUACAUUUCUGGGAUUUGUUCCCUUGCAUUUCACUGCUGGAAAGUGUGAGGCAGCUACUCUGAUGUAAUAAUUUGAACAGUGAUUAGCAAAUUCAUAAAAGGACUAGCGAAACAGUGGUGUUUUUGUGUUAGAUAGUCAAUAGCAUUUAAAAGAAAAGUGAGAUGCCUCCCCAGUUCUAAAUUGAGCUUGUAGUGUCAGCAGAUUGAAGCUCCAGAAACAAUGAAUUAAUGGCAUGUUAAAAAUUGGAAUUGGCUAAGGCUGCUUCCUGAGGGCUAUAAUCUAGGGAUGUGUGUGUGAUUGGGAUGGUGGUGUUGGAAUUUAGGCUUUGAAGCAGGCACAUAUAUUUGUGUACUUACCGUAAAUCCUUGUAUCAUUUAAGAUCGGUACGAAAAUAAAGCUUUAGUUUAUUUCUGGCCCAAACAUAUAUUUGUAACUCCAGUCAUAAUGGAGCAAAGAAAUGUAACAAGAAUGUUUUACCAUUUUAUUUAUAAAAUACUCUGUGUUAGAUCCAAACACUGCGCUACUUUCUAUUUUUCAUAAUUUGCUUCUUCAGCAAGAAAUUUGAACCAUAGUUUUAGAAUUUUUGUCCUAUCUGCUUUCUUUCUUUGUUGUUGUUGUAUCCACUGAUGUCCUGACAAUUAUAGCAACAUGAUAUUUUAAGCAUGCCAUAAUAAGAAAUGUGACUUAACUAAUUGUAUUACUUUGAUAAAUCCUAUUAGAGUCUGUGCGAUUCUUCUCCACAAAUAUAAGGAAGAGCCCUGAAAUAGCUAAAUAUUUAAACGCUGUAAGCUUCAGUUUCACUGCAAAUGACAGAUGAAAUUCUCCAUAGGCAGGCCAUAUAAAUCUAACUAUCAUCUGGCAAAGUGGGCUCUGGCCUAUGAAAGCUUGCACUGCCAUAAAACAUAGUAUUUAAGAUGUCACAGAACUGCUUUUUUUAAAAAAAAUGUAACCGACUAACACAACAACCAUUAAAGUGUGCAAUUCUUCCAUAGCUUAAAGGGAGGCGAGAAGGCAAAAUACACAGUAGAAACAGUCCAAUGUUUCUGGACAAAGUUUCACUCAUAUGAUACUUUAUUAGAAGCUAAUGUAAAUUUUAUUAGUCUUCCAAGAGAUUUGCCGCCCUAUCCUUAAAUAGUAAGUUUAUUGCUUUUAAUUGGAAGUAGAACUCUUAGGGUUACAGUCUAAACCAAAUGAUUAUAAACCUUCCUUUAUGCUUAAAGUAUUAUUAUUCCAACAGCUUUUCCUGGGUUCAGAGCUUCCCUGGGCUUGAACCACAGUUCAGACAUGUGCAAAUUCAUCCUUGCCCUGCAGCUCUGUGGCCAAUGAUGUAUGUACACAUCUUAUUGAUAUUGUUAUGUUACUAUCUACAAGUCUACUAAAAUUUUUGCGGUCGGCUUUGACAAUUUUCAGGUUGUAAAACACAAGUUGCAAUGAACCAAUAAGAAGAUGCUCCAAAACUUGCUUUCUCCAUAUACGUAUUUUCCUUACCAGUAAUUAUAAAUUUGCUGUUGAGUAGACCUGGGUUUCAUUUUUUCUCAUGUGUUUACAAAAGUGUUUAUUGUGUGGUACAAAUUUGUCAAAAUAUUGGGUUGGAUGAAACGAAUCCCAAGUCAAAUGCAUUAACACUGUGUUGUGCAUAAGCACUAUUUGAAUAUUUCAUGCAGCAAAGAAAGCCCCAAUGCUAGAGUCCAAAAGGUUCCCCAUUGAAUAGCAAGACUUGCUUUGUACUUGCUGCUUUGGGAUUUGCAGUUAUUGCAAGCCCUUUCUAGUGGGAAACUGCUUUUGCUCCUGCUUAUUUAGCAGAUGUGUAAGGAAUUUAAACUCUGAGGGAGGAAUUCAACUAAGGAGAUUGUUCCAUUGGCGCAAGCCUUUCAGCUUGCCAGAUGGGAAGAUCUCACCCCUCCCCCAUGCGCUGUACUGGGGGUUCCCCGACCCAAUUUGAGGGGCGUAUGGGGGCAUGAAGGGGAGGAGAGGGGAAGAAAAGCCCCAUUUCACCAGCAAAAGACCUUCCUCUGGCUUGCAGUAGCGUAACUCAUUAGUUAACUCUGAACCUAAAAAGUUAAAGGACAAUAAUCCUUGAUAUGUAGCCACUUGUGCAAUAGAAAUCCACUUAUGCAGUUGGGUUUCAGUAUGAAAUAUAUAGCAGUCUGUGUGGGAUGUGUAGAACUGGGGAAUUUGGACUCAUGAAUGUACUGGCCAUCAUUGCCAGGUGGUAGCCAAGGAGAUAAGAUUAGCCCAGGUUUCACAGUUUAAAUGUGCCCACAGAGAAUACUAGCAGGAUAUGUAGGUUGAUGAUGCCAUUGGCUUCCGUCAGCACAACUACUUCAAAUCAUGCAUCUCUGCAGAGAUGUAGCACGUCACCCUACAAAUUCAUUUUUUUUUUGUAUCCCCGUCCCCCAAAUAGUGAUUUAAGUCACUAAACACACAACUCCCACCUCAACCUUUCCUGGUAGUGGUGACUGAAUAUCACAGUUUCUGUAGCUGCACCUGUUGCUGCUGACGUUUAGUCAGUCAUACUAUCAGAUUUUGGUAUUACCUUCAUUUCAGUAAUGUUGGUCAGCUGGGCUGUUCUCAGUUUUAUAACAUGCCAGAACAUUUCUCAAACUACUGUACAGUGAAAAAAAAUAGCUGCAUAGUAUUAAAAUAUUUUUGCGGCUUGUACUAGCAAAUGUACUACAAUUUUACACAUAACGAAUUGUUAUUGUUGCUUGAAAUAUGUUGGAUUAGUUAUUAUUACAUUGUUGAGUAGAAAAAAAGACACUUCUGUUUUCUUUUGUGUGUGUGUGAGAGAGUUGGUGCAGUUUUCUUCCAGUCACCUAAAGUGGGUGAGGAUUUAACCUCAUUUUUCUAAACUGUUUCAGCUUAGAACUCAACUCAACUCAUAUUCUUUGGCAGGGCUCAACAACUUGGCUUCUGAUAAUGAAGGUAGAAAGAUUUUAUUUUUAAUAAACCUGGCAGCAAUCUUAUUUUCCCUCAUUAUUUGUCAUAGCAGUGUACUGGAAGACACUAAUUGUGCUGGGCAUAUGGACUUAAGCAACUCCUCCUUUAACAAGUUGCCCCACAAUUGGAGGAGCAAUCAGAGGCUACAAGCUCCCCUUCAACCAAGACUAAUCCAACUGCCAAAGUUGUGACAUUUGCUAUGAGGUAUGCAAAACCAUUAGGUUGGAGCCAGUUUGCCGGGUGGACAAUUUCCUGCCUGGCACCGAAUACACGCCCAACAAUGUCAUACCAAGGUCAGAAUACCCAAGACACAGCAUGAACAAAAGGGGGUUGUUGGGUGUAGCAUCUGAUGAGGGUGACCAGGUGUCGGGACCAGGGCAGGCUGCUUUAGCCAUGUUCAAAUAUAUAAAAGGAUGUCACAUAGAAGCGGACACGGAGCAAUGGAUCCAAACUACAAGAAAGAAGAUUCCACCUAAACAUUAGGAAGAACUUCCUGACAGUAAGAGCUGUUCGACAGUGGAAUUUGCUGCCAAGGAGUGUGGUGGAGUCUCCUUCUUUGGAGGUCUUUAAGCAGAGGCUUGACAACCAUAUGUCAGGAGUGCUCUGAUGGUGUUUCCUGCUUGGCAGGGGGUUGGACUCGAUGGCCCUUGUGGUCUCUUCCAACUCUAUGAUUCUAUGAAAUGCCUCGGGAGUGAGCCUGAAGGAAGCCUACCUGCUCCGUCAGGCCUGCCCCUGAGGCAGGCCCUCCCUCCAAGCCUGCCUGUCAUUGGCCAAUCAUGUAGGCAGGCUUGGAUCCAAAUCCUGGUUGGUGUGGGGAGCUUCCAAACCCCCUUGCCAUCCAGGCAGUCCCAGCAACCUGAACCCAUGAUGGAUCUAGUGGAAGAGGCAUCACCAGCCUGCAACGCUGCCUUACCUGGGAAGGGGUUAGUGGACUUGUAAAAAAAAAAUAUGAGUCUUAGAAGGAAGUAGUAGGUAAUUAGGAAAGGGACGGAAAGCAAAGGACAGGACAAGGAGGCCUAAAGUGGAAGGUGACCAGCAGUGGAGACUGGUGAGUAUGUUCACUAAGCAAAACUGCAAAUGACUACUGCUUGGCAACAGAGAGCGAGGGACUUUCCACACCAGCAGGAACAGCGGAAGUGGGGGUGUCAAAGUCAGGAUUGUGUAAGUGCAUGGGGUCUGACUGGGGUGUGUGUGUGUCCACUCCCUGAUUGGAGCAACUUGUGUCUGUGCCUCCACCUCUCUGCAUGCACGUUUAAUGAGGAUCGCCCCUUUGGGGCUCACUCAGAAUCAUACCCUAGGAAGUUGCUUUUAUCUCCGCGAAGAGUCUUAAUCCAAGACCUGUAUCUUUCCUGGGUAGGAAAAAUGCCCCAGGGAAGGGAAAUUCGAUUGUAUAAAGGGCUGGCAAGGGAAGUACUACAUGCUCUGACCCUCUCCUACAUAGCCUGGCUCUCUACUGAAGGUUCCAGCUUCCUACGGUUGCUUUUGGGUGGGUGGGGGGGAGAAAGAAUAAUGGAACUACAAAUCAUAUGUUGCUUGACACAGUGCCUGCUGUGACUUGCUAGUCCCUGUGAGUAGGAAGCUCACAGUAAUAAAAAUAAAUUGUACAUGACUUAAAUUGUGUUGUGUUCUUAUUUGACUCAAAAGUCAAACAUUGUCCAUAUGGCUCUUUUUACUUAGAAAAGUAGCCAUUAACUUUGUGGAUUUCAUAAAGGACAAUUGAUUUUAGUUAUAAGGUUAGAAGUGUGUGCCUUAACAUGUUUGAAAAUCCGAUACCAUUUUAACUCAUUUCUGUAGGUACCACUAAUAAUUAGGUACUAAUUAAUUUAUAAUUAAUCUAGGUACUAAUUAUGUUUCUUUAAAAGCAUUAAAAAAAUAAAAUAAAGUAUGAUUUCAAGUUUUUUUAAGGUUUGUGAUGCAUCACAGAAACUGGUGGUGAUGCUCUCUAAAUUUCUAUUCGGCACUGGGUUUCUUGCAAACAUUUCGUUAAGAAUGUUUAGAUAUUCAUUCUAUAUUAUGCACCAUCAGUUUAAAAAUGCACUCCAGCUUCCCAUAAUUGCUCCCUGCCUCUCUCCUGCUUUCCUCAUGGUACUUGCAAAGUGUAUGCCCAAACUGGGAUAUCUUUCUUGGUCUUAGAUGUAGAACCCUUCUUUCUAGGUUCCAGUUCAUAAUUUGGUGAUCUGCACCAGUUUACAGGUUUGCCCUCAGUGGAAAUUACAUGAAAGGUUUGGACAAGUAAUUUUCAAACUGUCUGUUUAAUUCAGUAUUCUCCGAGAGCAGUUGUGCCACAUUCUGCAGGUGCCUUUGACUAUAGUUGAAUUAGCUAUUUUUAAAAACGUUGAUGGAUAAACAUUAUGUAUAUUCGGGGGAAAUGUGUGUGUAGCUUUGACAGCAAUGAUGUAGGGAGCCGUGACACUUGAAAGACCAAACAGGAAGGGAAGCAGAAAGGUUUAGAAUAUGGUUUUUCUUAACAGCAGGUUCUAAUGGAAACAUGGGCCCUUGCAUUUAUUCAGCACUGAGAGAAUUGCUAGUUUGAUAAUGACUAGGAAUGUUGUUAUUAAAACAGUGUGUGCAGUUCAUUUUCAACAGUUUUGAAUUAGAGUCUUCACUAAUGAAACGGAUACGGUUUCUUUCACAAAGGGCAGAUCUGUUAGUUAAUAUAGCUGCUGCAGUGCCUUGUGGACCAUGCCUUUAGCUCUAUUUGUAUUUCACAGCAUGAUAAGCAAAGAGUGUUGAUUUUCAAGGAUCCUGCUGAUGAAAGGUAAUGGCAUUAUUACAUCUUUAUCUCAAAAACAGAACUGUGUGGUAAAUGAUUCUCCCUUUCUUCCUUGCACCUCCCUCCCCUAAUUCUCUCUCAGUUUCCUUAUGGCACAAAAGAUUUCUUGGUUAGAAAAUCCCCUUUUUUAUUUCUUUAAGUCACUUUAGCCUUGGAAAUGAUAUGUUAUUAUUUAAUGUCUGCACAGCAAGCCUGAGAGCACCUAAUAGCGAGUGGAUUGGAAGUGAAGGGCCUCCUGCUUGCAGAUAUGGAUCGGCUCAGUCACACGCUGUACCAGCUGUCAUCUCGGCCAUACUGCUGUGAUUUAAUUAGUCUGUUUAUGUCCUUUCUAAUAAUAUUUCCAUCUCUAUGAAAGGGCAAAUGCGACAGGGACUUCUUUCCCGCUCUCCGGGUUCCACACACUGAGGAAUGUGGCCUACAUCCGAUAUGCUAAGAUGCAGGAUUGAAUCACCAUUCCUGUCAUUUCAAGCUGUUGAUAAAUUGUUCAGCCAAGAAAUGUACUUACUUCCUUGGGGUCAUUUGUGUGCUAGGGCCUAUAAUCUGCACUGCAAAGGGACGAACGAACGAAAGAGAAUACAAAGACAAGGAUGUUGUGGUUGUGCAUAGGAGACCAAAUUCCACUAGCGGGAUAGAAAUUGUUUUAAUCAUAUCUUCCCCCUAUUGGUCAUGCAAACGCUUGGAAUAAUUAUUUUUAUCCUUCCAUCAGAAGAAGCUACAACUGCCGCCUGUUAAAUUUCAUUAGACCAGCAUUGCAAUCCUAUUACAUACCUGCUCAAAUGCAAACCCUACUGAUUUCAGUGGGGCGUUCUGCAAAGUAAGCGUGUGUAAGGAUUGCAGCCUUAGGGUUAAUAGUGAAAUAAUGGAGUUUAGAUGCACUUUCGUUUGACUUCUUGUACAUUUUUGCCACAUUGCAAGACCUCAGGUCUAGUAUAUUUAAACCAUAAAUAUAUCAAAAUAGAGGGGAAGUGGCCAAGUAGAGGUAGUACUGCC